ensembl:lncRNA
UGCACAAACAAUAAGAAAAUUUGACAUAAAAAAUAACAAAAAAUACAAACACCUCUUCAACACCUUUUUAGCACUAGAAAUAUCAUACAUAUAUAUAUAUAUAUAUAUAUAUAUAUAUAUAUAUAUAUAUAUAUAUAUAUAUAUAUAUAUUAGGGAUGUCAACGAUUAAUCGACGAUCGAUUAAUUGUCGAUAAGAGAUGCAAUCGAUUAAGGCUGUCGAUGGUCGGUUAACCGCUUUAAUGUUGGUUGCUGCGUGCGGCUCAUGCGCAGAACACGUGCAAGCGGCUGUGAGUGACGGUGAAGGUAGCAGUAAAAGCAUCAUCAUUCAUUCACAAUGUACAAAUUAAGCUUUUAACAUGAUUUAAACUUUAAAGUAGCCUACAUUAAAAUUUCUUCAACAUAAAAAGCAUAGGCAAUCAUGCGCUUUGCAGGGCUGCGGGACACAGGACAGAAGGCUAUCCUAUUACUUGUUAAUUCGUUCCUACGACUUAUUAAUUUGUGGCAAUUGUCCAUGUUUCAUUAAUUUUUGUUCCCUAAAUAACCCAUGAUUUAACUAAAUAAGGGAACAAACUAAUAAAUCGAACGAAUUCCUAAUUCAUGAAAUCUUUAAUUUCCCUUCCCAUGUUUACCACAGUAAGAGAUGCGAAAACAGUGAUUAAAAGUGAAAGAUUUAGGAAAAGAAACAAUGCCUAUAUGUUAUUGAAUUUGUGGAAAUUCGUGACUAACCGGCAAACCAGAACAAAGCCGCGUAAAUGAAGGCUAUGGGCUCGAGUCACUGAAUGUGCUGGGAGUCAGGCUGGACAAUCGAAUACAACAAAAGCCACUAUACAGACAUGUUUGUUCACAAAGCAAAUAUUUAGAACUUAAUUAAAGGUGCUGUACAGUGUGAAUGAAAAGUAUCACCCCCUUCAAAAUAAUAACAUUUUGUUGCUUUGCAGCAUGAAAUGACAGUUUUUGUUUUAUCCAGCUGUAUUUACUCAGUGCAACUUAUAACAUCCAAGUGACAAAUAUGUCAGCAAGUCAAAAAAAAAAUAAAAAAAUUCACUGAUAUGGAAAAAGGAUCACCCCCUUGUGUCAUUAGUUUGUUAACCCACCUUUUGCUUUAAUUACAGCCUUUAGUCUGUUGGGAUUUGUCUCUACUAACUUUGCACAUCUGGUCUUUGCCAUUUUUGCCCACUCUUAUGCAGAACUGCUCAAGUUCAGUUAAAUUUUAUGGUGACCAUUUGUGGACUGCAGUCUUCAAGUCAUUCCACAGAUUUUCAAUGGGGUUUAAGUCUGGGCUCUGACUUGGCCAUACAUUCACUUUAACUCCCUUCAACCACUGUGUGCUCAGUUUUGCUGUGUGCUUUGGGUCAUUAUCAUGUUGGAAGGUAAACCUUCUUCCCAUUGAUAUCUUUCUGGCAGAGGGCAGCAGAAUUUCCUCAAGAAUUUGAUGUUAUUUUGCCCCAUUCAUUUUUCUUUCUAUCCUGACAAGCGCUCCAGUCCCUGCUGCAGAGAAACACCCCCAUAACAGGACAUUACCACCUCCACUGUAGGUACAUUGCUUUACUGUAGGAAAUUGGUUAUUUGGAUGGUGAGCUGUACUGGAUUUCUGUCAGACAUAUGGUUUGGUGUUUAGGCCAAAUAAUUCAAUUUUAUUCUCAUCUGCCACAGAAUCUUCAAGGUGCUUUGGCAAAGCUCAGUCAUGAGUGCAUGUGGCUUUUUUGAGUGGCUUUUUUCUUGCAACCCUCCCAUACAAGCCACAUUUGUGGAGAAUGUAUGAUAUUGUUGUCACAUGCACACAGUGACCACUCUUUGGCAUAAAUUCCUGCAAAUGCUUCAGAGUUGCUGUAGGGCUCUUGGAAGCCUCUCUGACCAGUUUCCUCCUAGCACUUUCCAGUUUGGCAUGACAUCCUGAUCCAAGAGGGUCUGUGUUGUAUCAAAUACCUUCCACUUCCAAAUAAUACACUGGACACUGCUUCUAGGGAUUGAUAAAGCCUUUGAAUUUUUUUGUAUGCAUCUCCUGACUUGUGCCUGUCCACACCUUUAUCCCAGAUAUCUUUUGACAGUGCCUUGUCACCCAUAGUUGAUUGUUUGCUUCAGUUGCUCUACUAAAGACUGAAAUGCUCGAGGAAAGCUCUUUUCAUGCUGAGCUAAUCAAAAUCACCACAGCUGAUCACAGUUGAAAAUCAAAUGGCUUUGUGUGCCAUUGAGAAUGUGAUUAGCUACACCUGAUUGCGUUUACAACUCAUUUUUAAGAGGGGGGUGAUCCUUUUUUCAACAAUUCAGUGAUUUUUAUUUAUUUAUUUUUUUUCCCCUUUCUGACAUGUUGGUGUUAUAUCUUUCACUUGGAUGUUAUAAGCUGCACUGAGUAAAUACAGCUGGAUAAAACACAAACUGUGUCCAUCUCCAUUUCAGGCUCCAAAGCAAAAAAAAAAAAGUGAUUAUUUUAAAGGGGAUGAUUCUUUUCUAUACCCAUUGUAUGUCAGUUUUUUUUCAACGUUAAAAUACUUUCUCAUAUCCAAGUUUGCAGAAAGAUAGAUGUAGCUGCAAAUAAGAUUCAAAUGCCAAUGAAUCUCCCAUGAGAUUCAUUUAGUGUAAAUCAACUUUGCCGCUUUGGAACAAUUUGUAUUCUGAAAAGCGCAAUACAAAUAAAUUGAAUUGAACUUUAAAGUUCAUUUCACACCGUUGUGCACAUCUGCAUCACUGAGGUACCCUCUCCACCAUUAAGAUGUGGCUUUCUGCAACACAUACAGUUUUUUGGAAGCAACAGUAUAUUGGAAAAAGCAGGGUGUUCAUUUGCUGACCACUUUCUAAUGCCAUUAAACACCCAUUCUUUUUCAUUAAGGUGACAUCUACUUUUCUCACUCCAUAAAUCAUGAUGAAUUACACCGUAAGAGGCCCGUUAAAAUUAUCAUUUAAUUGUAUCAUCUAUGAAGAGGAAAUUAAAUUAAACAAAACAUUUAACCAUUUGCUAAGACAAAACUAGCAUGCUGCUUUAAAUUGGCUAGCUCAAGGUUGUUUCCUUUAAAAUCAAAUAUGAAUCAUUUGGCCGGUUGACUAAGAAUGGGUUCAGCUAAAAUAUGAGUAUACAUUGGUCCCAGAUUGUUCCAUCAUGAGUCAUAUUCAUCUCUCAUGAUUUAACUUUUCGUUAGCACACCAGCUCUAUCACUGUCGCAACCAUGAAGUGUUAUUUUAUGGACUGCUGUAAAAGCAUCACAAGAAUACUUUUUAUGACCUCCAUUAUACUAUAAGGUCACUU